CAAAAACAUAGCUAUAUGUAUAAAUAUAUGGUGAUUUCUGCUCCAUGAAGUUUAAAUAGCCGCAGUACCCUGACUGUGCAAAGGUAGCGCAAUCAAUUGGCUUUUAAUUGAAGUCCUGUAUGAAGGAAAAUAUAAGGGGGCUACUUUAUCAAUAAUAAUGCACGAAUUUACUAAUUAAGUGCAAAUACUUAUAUUUAAAUAAUAGACGAGAAGACCCUAGAAAUUUUAAGAAUUAGUCUUUUUGUUGGGGCAACAAAGUAGUAAAAUAUAACCUACUAUUGAUACAUAAAAGAUAUAACUUGUUAGAUUAAAUUACUCUAGGGAUAACAGCAUAAUCAAUGAAAGUUUGUGACCUCGAUGUUGGACUAGGGAAUUAAUAUUUAGAAGUUAAUGAUAAGCUCUGUUCGAG
rnacentral:rRNA from 1 species